CUAUGGAGUGUCUCUUUGCCAGCCAGAAACCUUUCUGCCUGAGUAUUGUUCACGCCCACGGGGCUCAUUCCACCCACUCGGCCCAGCAGGCUGCACUCAGCUCACGCUACUGUCCUGGAUCCCACACCUACCAAAGGUGGUCAUGGUCCUGGUCAGAGAUGGUGAGGAGCCAGCAUGUCCUAACUCUCCCUGUGCACAGCCAGCUCUUCUUCCAGACCUCUAGGGCUGCUGACUACCAGGCCCACCAGACCCAUCAUCAGAUGCAAGCACAACAGUUCCUCUGCAGUUUCUCUCCAGAAGCUGGUCCUACCUGACUUCUCAUUUAUCCUUGUAGGCUUCAGUGCUUCAGAAGGCCAGCUGAAGAUUAGUCCCAUUGUAUAUAUGUAGAAACUGAGACUCAGAGAGGUGAACUGACAUGUCAAAUCCACAUGGCAAUGAGGCAAAACCAGGAUUUAAAGGAGGAAGAGAUGCCUAUUUGAAGAGUUUUAGAAAAGAAACCUGCAAGUUGAAAGCCACAUUUCAAAAACAUAUCUAUUUGAAGCCAUUUCCACAAAGGUGGAGAAUAUCCCCUAUUAUGUGUCACUGCCAAGGGAGCUUGGCGUGAUUCAAAAUAAAGUGAUA